rnacentral:lncRNA from 1 species
CCUUCUUAGCAGGGCCCUUCUUCUUCCUACCAAUGUCAACACCAUAAUGCUGGAGGUACCAUUGUUUAAAUGGCGCAGCAUCAACUUGAACAAUAGCACUCUUGACCAGAGUUUGAGUGCGAACAAGUUCAUUGUUUGAUGCAUUGUAAACCACAUCAAGGAUACGAGUCUUGCGUGUGACUGCCUCACUACCCCAUGAAUAAUUUCCUGUAUCCAAUCUUAGUGCCCUCCACUUCACAUUGCCACCACGCACACUGUGCGAACAAGUUCAUUGUUUGAGGCAUUGUAAACCACAUCAAGGAUACGAGUCUUGCGUGUGACUGCCUCACUACCCCAUGAGUAAUUUCCGGUAUCCAAUCUCAGUGCCCUCCACUUCACAUUGCCACCACGCACACGAAUUCGUCGGACUGUCUUGUUAGCCGAGAUCUUAGUAUUAGCAGGCUGGCGGCCAAGUUCAUACCUUCAAUAAAUUGAAAUUGAUCAGAAUUCAGAGUCAGGAAUGCAGCCAAAAAACAGUGAUUUACAUUACAGUUUCUCUUAUCAUAUUGUAAUGAUAAAAGAUCAUUCUAACAAAACGUUCUGCAGGCAAAGGGGAAGAUGACUUUACUAUCAUUUAGCUAAGGACUAUAUGCUCAUAUUUUGCCAUGUUGGUUUAUUCAAUUGCGUUAAUUCCAUUCCACUAGAUCAAAUAAAUUGAAACAUCCUGGAAUAAAUCUUUAAUUAUACUAGGUAGAUUUGUAGUCUCUCUGAACCUACUUAGAGUCGAUCAAAUAAUAAUAAAAAAACCAGUAUAGUCCCAACACAAGUGGGGUCUGGGGAGGGUAGAGGGUACAUUGAGUAACCUUACCCUGCC